rnacentral:rRNA from 1 species
CCUACGGGAGGCAGCAGUGAGGAAUAUUGGACAAUGGGCGCAAGCCUGAUCCAGCCAUGCCGCGUGCAGGAAGAAGCAUCUAUGGUGUGUAAACUGCUUUUGUACAGGAAAAAACACUCCCUCGUGAGGGAGCUUGACGGUACUGUAAGAAUAAGGAUCGGCUAACUCCGUGCCAGCAGCCGCGGUAAUACGGAGGAUCCAAGCGUUAUCCGGAAUCAUUGGGUUUAAAGGGUCCGUAGGCGGUUUGAUAAGUCAGUGGUGAAAGCCCAUCGCUCAACGAUGGAACGGCCAUUGAUACUGUCAGACUUGAAUUACUAGGAAGUAACUAGAAUAUGUAGUGUAGCGGUGAAAUGCUUAGAUAUUACAUGGAAUACCAAUUGCGAAGGCAGGUUACUACUAGUGGAUUGACGCUGAUGGACGAAAGCGUGGGGAGCGAACAGGAUUAGAUACCCUGGUAGUCCACGCCGUAAACGAUGGAUACUAGCUGUUGGGUGCAAACUCAGUGGCUAAGCGAAAGUGAUAAGUAUCCCACCUGGGGAGUACGUUCGCAAGAAUGAAACUCAAAUGAAUUGACGG